rnacentral:lncRNA from 1 species
AUAGAUUUUGAUGAAGGUGUUUUCGGAGCUGCUCAUUUCGAAAUAAUUGGAAAGGAGGACUUCCAACAACUUUUUGAACACACCGAAUUGGGCAUCGCUGUCAUUCAUACAUACAUAUGGUACUCCGAUCAAUCUAUAAUUUACUUAGUUGAACAAUUUAUUUACACAUUUCAAUGAGUAGUCUAAUGUUUAUUAUGUUUCUAUUUAAGGUAUAUGUAUGUAACAUUGAUGCGGGGAACUGAAUUGUGUAACCGUUUCAAUUUUA